GCCUUCGUGGUGUAAUGGUCAGCACACUCGGCGCGUAUUCGAGAGGUCCGUGGUUCGAGUCCCGACGAGGGCA
rnacentral:tRNA from 1 species